CCUACGGGAGGCUGCAGUGGGGAAUAUUGGACAAUGGGGGAAACCCUGAUCCAGCCAUGCCGCGUGUGUGAAGAAGGCCCUCGGGUUGUAAAGCACUUUCAGUGAGGAAGAACGCCUGGUGGUUAAUACCCAUCAGGAAAGACAUCACUCACAGAAGAAGCACCGGCUAACUCCGUGCCAGCAGCCGCGGUAAUACGGAGGGUGCGAGCGUUAAUCGGAAUUUCUGGGCGUAAAGCGCGCGUAGGUGGCUUGAUAAGCCGGUUGUGAAAGCCCCGGGCUCAACCUGGGAACGGCAUCCGGAACUGUCAAGCUAGAGUGCAGGAGAGGAAGGUAGAAUUCCCGGUGUAGCGGUGAAAUGCGUAGAGAUCGGGAGGAAUACCAGUGGCGAAGGCGGCCUUCUGGACUGACACUGACACUGAGGUGCGAAAGCGUGGGUAGCAAACAGGAUUAGAUACCCUGGUAGUC
rnacentral:rRNA from 1 species